UACAGAGGGUGCAAGCGUUGUUCGGAAUUACUGGGCGUAAAGCGCGUGUAGGCGGUUUGAUAAGUCGGUCGUGAAAUCCCUGGGCUUAACCUAGGAACUGCGAUCGAAACUGUUAGACUUGAGUAUCGGAGGGGAUGGCGGAAUUCCUGGUGUAGAGGUGAAAUUCGUAGAUAUCAGGAGGAACACCUGUGGCGAAGGCGGCCAUCUGGAAGAUUACUGACGCUGAGACGCGAAAGCGUGGGGAGCAAACAGG
rnacentral:rRNA from 1 species